rnacentral:lncRNA from 1 species
AGGAACCUCCCCUGACCCCACCAACCUCAGCUCUGAGUGCUUUGCUCACACCAUUGACAGAAAUGAGGACUUCAAAAGCCACAGCCAGGCUACAGGGAUUGAUGACAGAGCUGGCUCUUGAGCCCUCCCAGUUCUCACCCACAACCCAUGGUCUACCUUCCCUGGGCAAAAGGAUGUUUUCUGCCUCCUUCCUUUCCUUCUUGGUCUGUGGCGGAUCAGCUUCUUUCACCCUAGAAUACCACCUGCACAAAGAGGAAGAGCCUAGCCCGCCACUGCCAGGACCCAGUCCAGCUUUGGUGGCCCUGUGGGGCCUGGACCCAUGCACAGCCAAGGCUGCCCCAGCUGUGGAGAAGGCUGGCCCACUGAGGAAGGGCCCAGCUUGAUUCCAGGCCAACCCCGGCUCUGGGCCCAGUACUAGCUAAUAAGAAUGCGUUAAGUGCCCCCCAGAGCCCUGAGCUCCUGUAUCUCAGAAUCUCUUCUGAGGGAACUGCUGAAACAAUGCUUACAAAAAUGUCGGAGCCUAACUCUGGAUUUGGGGGCCGGGAGUGGCAAUCCUAGCCUUUGGGUGAGCCCAAGCAGGGGUCUUCGCUCUUC